AAUUCUCAACCUUAGAAGGCUUUUGUUUUCUAAGGCUUGGAUGUGGGAGUUGCGGGCUUGUACAAGUCGGCUCUUCUGAAAUGUAUUAGCUGGGUUUGCGCCUUCAGCCUAUUGGUGUGAUAAUUAUCUACGCCUUCAGGUCGUUAGCGUGUAUAAACCUUUCCAGCUUCUAAUCGUCCGCAAGGACAACACUUGACC
rnacentral:misc_RNA from 1 species